UAUUAAAUUUGAUUUGUAUGAUGCACAGAUUUCCUUCUUAUAGAGUGUGUAUUCACUAAUGUGUUGGAUGCUGCCUGUGUAGGCCUUGUCUAGGUUUUGGAACAAAGUUUGUUUCAAAUUUGAUAUUUUGUUGCAUAGAAACAUACAUAAGUUUAACUUACACAUGAUUUUCCUUUGUUUUACCUUUAUCAGUUCCAUCACAUUCGACAAUUUAUUUAUUUUAUUUUUUGUAUUGUGUUUUUCUUUUGUUCUCCUAGCUUUAGAGAGAAAGGCUUUUAUCUUCAAGUCAUUCAUUAAUUAGGCUUGUGAUUUAUGUUGGGAAGGAAUGCAGAGGUGGUGGUGAAUAUGAAUAAUGUGUUGAUCUGAAGGCCACAUAGUUGUUAAUAUGAUGUUGAACAAAUGGCUCUGUGGUGACUGGGUUCGGGUUUACAAAUGAUGCACAACCAGGAGGACCUUGACCAUGUCAGAAACAGAGGCCAGCAUGUGAAUGAGCUUUAACCCUUGUGCUUUUUGACCCCAGCAGGUCACAGACAGUCUGAAACACUCCAGACCUUAAAGACACAAAUCUUGCUCAACAGAAGACUCUCUCCAGAUGCUGAAAUGCAAAUGAGUAAACAGAACAGCUGUCAUAAAUCAUCUAAACACAGGUGAGAUGAUACAUGUAAAUGCUCAUGUUUGACUGGCUGAUACAACAGGGUUGUUGGACUGUAUAUAUACUGUUAUUGCAGUAGAUGCCGCAUCACUUGAAAUCUUUUGAUUGUAGAAAUACCCUAUUCACUGGUGCUGUCACAGUUGGUUGCAGCAAGGAAGAGUAGUAGAAGCAGGAUCUAUACACAGCAGUUGCUUUAUUUAACAAAAAAAAAACAGGAGCACAGGAGAAUACUGGAAAACAGGAGAAUAACAACCAAACAUAGACGAGAAUGGACAAAGAAUAACUCAAACUGAGGGCUAUAUAUACAAAGAGUAAGGAACAGGUGAAUUAAAUCAAUCAAACAAUUAGUCGGUGUGACAACAAAUGUACUUGAACAUUCUAGAAACCAUAGAAACAAAAAGGAAACACAGGAAACAAGGAGUUACAAACUAAAAGACCCAGGUGGAGUCCUAUGAACGCAGGGACUGGGCGACACCGGAGGACCACAAAGCCAAGGCGGAGCUGCGGUGACGAGGUGAAGCCAGGGUGACUGAGGCGGAGCCGGAUAGAGUGAGGACUGUGGAGGAGUCGGAGGGAAUGGUUAAGCCUGACAGAGGCUAAGAGGUGUAGGGAUGAGGCGUAGCCGGAGGCCAGGAAGUCCAUUACGGAGGCAAAGCAAUGACUGACCAAGGCAGAGCCGGAGGGACGAGGGAACCCGGUGGAGCCAGAAGGACAACGGUCCUGGAGGGAGCAAGGAGACAAGGUGGAGUCAACGGGCCGAGGUGGAGUCUGAACCAGCAGUGACGACGGAGAGUCUGAGCUGGGCGGAACUAGCGGCGACGAAGAAGACUUGAAGCUGGGCUGAACUAGCAGCGACGAAGAAGACUUGGAGCUGGUCUGAACUAGCAGUGACAAAAGAGACUUGAAGAUGGGCGGAACCAGCGGUGACAAAGGAGACUUGGAGCUGGUCUGAACUAGCAGUGAAAAAAGAGACUUGGAGAUGGGUGGAACCAGUGGCUAUGAAGGAGGCUUUAAGCUGGUCUGAACCAGCAGUGACGACGGAGAGUCUGAGCUGGGCGGAACUAGCGGCGACGAAGAAGACUUGAAGCUGGGCUGAACUAGCAGCGACGAAGGAGACUUGGAGCUGGGCGGAACUAGAAGUGACGAAGGAGACUUGGAGCUGGUCUGAACUAGCAGUGACAAAAGAGACUUGAAGAUGGGCGGAACCAGCGGUGACAAAGGAGACUUGGAGCUGGUCUGAACCAACGUGAUGAAGGAGAUUUGGGGCUGGGCGGAACCAGCGGUGAUGAAGGAGACUUGGAGCUGGUCUGAACCAGUGGUGACGAAGGAGACUUAGGGCUGGGCGGAACCAGCGGCAACAAAGGAGACUUGGGGCUAGGCGGAACUAGAGACGAUGAAGGAGACUUUGGCUCUGGGUCUGCGGUGGGCUCUGGCUUUGGGUCCUUAGUGGGCUUUGGCACUGGCUCUGGGUUCGAGGUGGGCAUAUGGAGAUGUUGGCUGGGUUCCGGUUCUGGGUCAGCAGGGCAAAGACAUCGACAAUAGAUAUGCAUAUUCCAGACAAGAAUGCCUUGCUGCCAAGUAAAAUUCUCCAUCUCUGGUGAGUCCAUCGGGCCAUAAUAAUGAGGUCCUAUCCAAUACAUUGAUCUUAAGGUGCUUUUUUGUUUGUUUGUUUGCUUUUUUUUCAAAAUUAUUUUUGUGUUGAUUAAUAUUAUUCUACAAAUGCUGUUGAUUGAUCUUAUAUUGAACCAGGAAUAUUUAUUUUAUUUAUUCCCAAAUGAGUAGUGUCCGAUAUAGGGACAUGAACCGAAAAAAAACAUAAAUUAUAUUGCUGUGUAGCCAGCUUUACGUAGAAUCAAACAGCUUUUUCUGUGCCACUGACAUAAGUAAUGUUUCAAAAGUACUAUUCAUUUCUUUGGGGUUUUUUUUCAGUCAGAAAUGUUACUUUAAAAAGUUGCCUUUAAAAUGAGGCCACAUCUUAUCACUUAUUUAACGUUAAAGCGCACCAAUUUUCUGUUGUAAAUUGGACCGUCCUGUUGAGGAGAGAUUUGAGUCUCUCUCAAUUUCUACCUGUUAUUUUAGCACUAUAGUCCAAUCUUGACCCUGGCCCUCAACUUUAUCCCUCUUUUCCACUUUAAUUUCCUGCUCAGCAGCUCUUUCAGUGAAAGAUUAUGUAAAAAUCUUAAAUCCAUAACUAAGGUUUAUUUUCUCACCUUUUAUAAGAUGUUUUGCUUUUCUACAGAAUAAUCUGAAAGACACGACCAGAUUCAAUCAUCCUUCUGGUGGGUUCGUUUGAGUGCAAGUGUUUCUUCAUGCUGAAAAUGUCCUGGCACCCUCUGCUGUGACAUCUCUUCUCUGAUGACGUGUUUACUGGCGCGAGGGCGGGGCAACCUGUCACUCACAUGACAUCACAGCAAUAGCAAACCACAACCAUCCACCAUCAAAUCAAUUACCGAUGGACAAAAUCAAGUCCCGCCCUACAUUUUUUCUUGUUCGAGUGUCUUACAAAAGGGAAUAAAAGACUUUCGAAAAACUUCCAUUUCAUGCCGACUAUAAGCUGUCUUUCAUGACAUCAACCACCAAUAUUUUUACACAGUGACAAGAACAGCGAUACGAGGUGACCCCUUCCCGCUGAGCUACAUAGGAUUUCUUAAACCCCCAUUGUCACGGCAGGUCCACAGGUUUUAAUUCUAGUCAGCCCACUAGGAAUGGGGAUAUUGAGGUUACACAGCUUGAAAUGGUUUGGUGUGGGUGAAAGAAGGAUAUGGACCGACUGCCAGUCAGGGCUGAUGAUAUUAA